rnacentral:rRNA from 1 species
GGAUUAGAUACCCUGGUAGUCCACGCCGUAAACGAUGUCUACUAGCCGUUGGGGUACUUGAUACCUUAGUGGCGCAGCUAACGCACUAAGUAGACCGCCUGGGGAGUACGGCCGCAAGGUUAAAACUCAAAUGAAUUGACGGGGGCCCGCACAAGCGGUGGAGCAUGUGGUUUAAUUCGAUGCAACGCGAAGAACCUUACCAGGCCUUGACAUACAGAGAACUUUCCAGAGAUGGAUUGGUGCCUUCGGGAACUCUGAUACAGGUGCUGCAUGGCUGUCGUCAGCUCGUGUUG